GGUAACCUUAGGCACUACAUCUUCCAUGAUGCUUUGCCAGCAUUUUGGGUGUAAGAGCAUAAUGGGGGAUGUAGUCCACAACAUCUGGAGUGGCAAAGGUUGCCUAUCCCUGCGCUAGACUUUUAGGGUCCCUACAUAUAAAGAGUAUCGAGGACAGGACUAACAAACCAGGCAAUGGAUUUCAUUAUGCACAAAUGAUGCAACUUAAAGUAUUUUAAUAUAAAAAUACACUGGCGUGAUGUAACAAUUUAAUUAAUCCGAUUUCACGGAAGAGUCUUCCAAAUUAACAAAACCCAUAAUAAAAAUCUACAACUAACAUACACAGGAAAUUGGUCAUAUGGUCAAAUGUAAAAAUUAAAAUGAACGCAUUAAAUGAAUUCUAAAUCUGCACCUUAUUCAGCAUUUGAUGACCUUGGUCCACAGAUUUAAGUGCUAAUAAUGUUGAUGCAAUGGGAGCCUUGUUUAAACACGUAAGGAGGAAAAAGAAGAAAAAAGAAGAAAUAUUGCGUUUAUCAACAUGCGGUUUCUGAGAUCUCACCUUCGGUCUUCCAGGGGCAUUGUACAAACGAUGGACUUUAUAUAGAGUAAAGACAGAGAAAGCCAUUUGCUAAUAUAACGGCUGUUCUCCGUUGAAAUGUAUUUUUAUGUGUUUCUUGAUAAAAUUAAAAAUAAGAAGAAAAUAUGCUAUUUCAGUUGGUGUGAUUGGAGUUUCGUGCCCUGGAAAUAUGUUUAGGAAUAAUUUGCAUAUUUGAUGCAAAGUGCAAUAAUUGUUUGAGCAGAAAGGGGG